rnacentral:rRNA from 1 species
AUUGAACGCUGGCGGCAGGCCUAACACAUGCAAGUCGAGCGGAUGAAGGGAGCUUGCUCCUGGAUUCAGCGGCGGACGGGUGAGUAAUGCCUAGGAAUCUGCCUGGUAUUGGGGGAUAACGUCCGGAAACGGGCGCUAAUACCGCAUACGUCCUGAGGGAGAAAGUGGGGGAUCUUCGGACCUCACGCUAUCUGAUGAGCCUAGGUCGGAUUAGCUAGUUGGUGGGGUAAAGGCCUACCAAGGCGACGAUCCGUAACUGGUCUGAGAGGAUGAUCAGUCACACUGGAACUGAGACACGGUCCAGACUCCUACGGGAGGCAGCAGUGGGGAAUAUUGGACAAUGGGCGAAAGCCUGAUCCAGCCAUGCCACGUGUGUGAAGAAGGUCUUCGGAUUGUAAAGCACUUUAAGUUGGGAGGAAGGGCAGUAAGUUAAUACCUUGCUGUUUUGACGUUACCAACAGAAUAAGCACCGGCUAACUUCGUG